rnacentral:rRNA from 1 species
GACGAACGCUGGCGGCAUGCCUAAUACAUGCAAGUCGAGCAGACAGAAGGGAGCUUGCUCCCGGAAGUCAGCGGCGGACGGGUGAGUAACACGUGGGCAACCUGCCCCUUGGAUUGGGAUAACUUCGGGAAACCGAAGCUAAUACCGAAUAAUACAAGGAACCUCCUGGUUCUCUGUUGAAAGAUGGCCUUUGUGCUGUCACUAAGGGAUGGGCCCGCGGCGCAUUAGCUAGUUGGUAAGGUAACGGCUUACCAAGGCGACGAUGCGUAGCCGACCUGAGAGGGUGCUCGGCCACACUGGGACUGAGACACGGCCAGACUCCUACGGGAGGCAGCAGUAGGGAGUCUUCCGCAAUGGACGAAAGUCUGACGGAGCAAUGCCGCGUGAGUGAGGAAGGCCUUCGGGUCGUAAAGCUCUGUUGUGAGGGAAGAACAAGUACCGGCGUAACUACCGGUACCGUGACGGUACCUCACCAGAAAGCCACGGCUAACUACGUGCCAGCCGCCGCGGUAA